rnacentral:rRNA from 1 species
GACGAACGCUGGCGGCGUGCUUAACACAUGCAAGUCGAGCGAGAAAGCCCCUUCGGGGGUGAGUACAGCGGCGAACGGGUGAGUAACACGUGGGUAACCUGCCCCGAGGAGCGGGACAACCCGAGGAAACUCGGGCUAAUACCGCAUAACUCGCUGCGUCUCAAGGCGCAGCGGCAAAUGGUAGCUUCGGCCUCCGCCUCAGGAUGGGGCCCGCGUCGCAUUAGCUUGUUGGUGAGGUAACGGCCCACCAAGGCAACGAUGCGUAGCUGGUCUGAGAGGACGAUCAGCCACACUGGGACUGAGACACGGCCCAGACUCCUACGGGAGGCAGCAGUGGGGAAUCUUGCGCAAUGGGCGAAAGCCUGACGCAGCAACGCCGCGUGAGGGAAGACGGCCCUCGGGUUGUAAACCUCUUUC